AUACGGAGGAUCCGAGCGUUAUCCGGAUUUAUUGGGUUUAAAGGGUGCGCAGGCGGGAGAUUAAGUCGGCGGGGAAAUUUUGCAGCUCAACUGUAAAAGUGCCUUCGAUACUGGUUUCCUUGAGUGUGGAUGAAGUAGGCGGAAUUUGUGGUGUAGCGGUGAAAUGCUUAGAUAUCACGAGGAACUCCGAUUGCGCAGGCAGCUUACUAAACCACUACUGACGCUCAGGCACGAAGGCGUGGGGAUCAAACAGGAUUAGAUACCCUGGUAGUCCACGCAGUAAACGAUGAUUACUGGCUGUUUGCGAUACAAUGUAAGCGGCUGAGCGAAAGCGUUAAGUAAUCCACCUGGGGAGUACGUUCGCAAGAAUGAAACUCAAAGGAAUUGACGGGG
rnacentral:rRNA from 1 species